rnacentral:misc_RNA from 1 species
GCACCAGAGCCAAUGGAAC